GGGAGGGAAACUAAGCAGGACCUCACAGGCUCUGUUGGACGGGGAACACAGUAGAGCGCUUUGACCACGGGGAUGACUUGUUUUAAAAGCAUCCUCCAGCUGCUGUGCUGAAAAUAGACUAGGGCAUCAGGGGGACAAUUAAAUGGCUAGUGCCAAAUCCAGCCUGGAGGGGCUGGUGGCUUGGGCUGUGGCAGUUACACUGGAGGUGGUGAGAAGUGGUCAGUCGCCAGUUAUCUCUGAAGGCAGAGCCCAUGGGAUUCGCUGGUGGACUGGAUGUGGUACGUGAGAGGAAGAGGAGAGUCGGAGAUGAUCCCGAGGAUUUUGUCCUGAGCAACUUCAAGGGUAGAGUUGACAUUUCCUGAGACAGUGAAAGUGCCAGAGGAGCUGUUUAGAGGGAGAGCUGGAAUGGGGAGUUCAGUUCGGGAUAUUAUUAAGUUUGAGAUUCUCAUGACGAUCUCAGUAAAGAACUCGAGGCGGGCAUUUCGGUGCUAGUCUGCCAUUCCAGGGAGGCGUCCAGACUAAGAAUAUAAAAGUGGGCGGAGAUGGUGUUGAAAAAUCACAGACCAGACACAUGAACUGAGCGUGUAUGAGGUUAGAAGAAAAGUCCCAGCACAGAGUCGUAGGGCACGCCAAGGUCUAGAAAAGGAGGCAGGAUCCAGGCGGGAGAUGAAGAUGUAACCAGUGAGAUGGAAGGAAAACCAGAAUCAAUGGUUAUUCUGGAAACCAAGCCAGGAGGCGCUUGAGAAAGAGGGAACCAUCAACCACAUCAAGUGCUGUGGGUAAGUCAGACCAGAUGAGGCAUGACUGUUGUCCACUGGGAAGGUGCCCGAGGCCCUAACUGGAGCUGUUCAGAGGAGUGAUGCCCCAUCAGGGCAUGUCAGGAACAACGGUGUUUAUAUUUAAUUCCAUGAGGGAUAUUGUGUUAUAUUUCUGUUUUACAAAUGAGAGAACUGAGGCGCAAGAGAGGGUUGAACACAGCUGGAUUGGAAGUCAGACGGUCUACUUGCUCCAGAGGACAUGCCCUUCAAAGCCUGGUGUGCUUGGAACUUGAAGGCUCUCAAAUCACCAGGGGCAGUGGAGAGCCGGGAGAAGCCUGCUGGCAUCUUAGGACAGCAAUCACUAGAGGAUUCUCCAUCUUGCUUCUUUGGAGCCAGGGGAAAGCAGGAGCAGCCAGCAUGCAGGCGACCAUUUACCCUUUCCAGGCCUGGGAGAGAGAAAAGUCAGCUGACCCAAGGCCCUGGGCCCUCAGCUCUCAUGAGCUGACAUCCGAGAAUCAUUCCAUCCCUAUGAUUUGAUCAUCCAUCAUGAAUAAAAGAUGCUAUAGGACCAGAGGAAAUUCCUGUUGCCAUCCUCAGGAAGGAGCUGAGCUCAAGGACACGACAGACAUAGGAAACAUUUGGCAAAAGACUGAACCCAAGGAGUGAGAGGGAAGCUUAGCCUCCAAGGCUGGACACAGGGUCUCUCAGGUGGGAGCACCCUGUCCACAAGCUCAGCACUUCACGAUGGCUGAGUGUGGGUGCGGACUGUGGAAGCAAGCAGAUUCCACGUGUCCUGAAAACAGAACAGCAGCUCUCGGGAGGUCUGGAGAGCAGGCCUCUCUCAAGUCACCCUCCCGAGGAAGGAAGAGCCCUUCUCUCCCCUUCUGCCUGCAACCCCUGGGGUCCCACGAGGGGCUGGCCUCAGCGCAAAGCACCAAUGAGCUGGGAAGGGUGAGGGUGAGGCCAGCUGGAGAUGGCCGACCAGGCCAUUGGCCUCUGGGGCGGCACCCCUUGCCAUCUCAUUGGCCUUACUCGCUGGCCCCGCGUGUGGGCUGCGCUUCUGCAAGCUGCAUGGUCAACGCUUUGACAGGCCGCUGCGGGGAAGCAGGAUGAGCACAGCAUUUCGGGUGUGAAGACAGGUGUUCGAAUCACAACUUUGCUACUGGCUAAUGAUAUGCUGUUGGGCUGUGUGCAGUGGGGAACACCGCUGACUUGGAAUCUGAAAGCCAGGCAGGAGUGUGAAUAUUUGAUUUCAAUCCGGGAAAAUUCCAGAGGACUAAAUUCAGAGGAUUUAUGAACACCAUCAUAUCCAAACAACUGGAUUUCAUUGACAAACACAGACUUAUUUUGUAGCUCAAACUGGGACAUUUCAACUAUAUUAAAAGGCAGAGAUAAAGAGAUGGAAACAGUAGAUAGAAUGCAACUCACAGAGUUUCCACAUAUAUGUUUAUUUUACUCUGGUUAAUGUUUAAGCCUCAGGAGUCCAAAAAUAAAUUAGAAUCAUAGACAGCAUCAUUUCCUAAAGCCAUGCUCUCUUCCUAUACACCCUCCAAAGCCACACAAAAGUACAAGAUGGACCUCAUCUACUCGUAACAGGGAGAGAGCAGCAUCUUCUCAGAUCCAGGUGGAGCUUUGCAGAAAGAGCUUCCCAAUCUUCAUGACCAUAACCACGGUGUCCAAGAUGAUAGCUGGAAAAUAAGGUUAAAUACCAUUAUACGAAACUUUCCAUAACUUGGAUGCCAGCAGCCCUAGCUUCCAUUCCAUCUGUAAUCUGGUUUCUCUACCUCAUUUAAUAUUUUACUACCAUUUUUAUGUACAUGGAAGUAUUCACAGAAGUAAUGAAUGUCUUAACUAUAUAUAAGGCCUUUCCACGUAGGACUAUUAGGUUCAGCAUUAUUCUGCUGGGUGCUGCAAGGCCCUUUGUUGUGUCCAGGUUUCUGUGCUUAUACAGCAGGAUGCCGGAAUCUUAAAAGGAAGCAGAAGGCUGAAGACUAAAAGUCACCCUGCAACCCGGCGCUGCUCUUCUUCUGAUCCCGUUACUCACGCUGCACUAUCACAACGUACUGGCCUCUCUGGGCCUGGGAAACCGAACCUGCUGACCGCCGAAGCACCAAGGCACGUCUUGGAAGUCCACGGGACACUCAGAGAGAUGCCUAUUUUCUGUCAGGACAGCACAGAGGAUGCCUGCUCUAAGGGAAAAUAAGCUCUCCAGGAGAGGGGGAGAAAAUCCCGUCUCCGCCCUACAGUGCAGGGGACCAUCGGCCUUUUCAGGAGCUUGGCGUAGCGCGUUGAUUCCUGUGGCUGCAGACUGUUUGAUGUGCAGGCUGUCAGCCCACCUCGCUUGUGCGGGAUGAUCCAGGUAAUUCCUCAGAGGAGAGCAACCUUCUACCCUUUGGCCCUGGACUGAUGCUAGAAGCCUCUCUGACCUCUCCAUCCUUUACCGUGUACAAUCCAAUCUGGGAAUCUACAAAUGAAGGCUCAGAGCCCUGGCCAAGUUGAGACGUUCCUGGCUCACAGCUCCCAAAACCCCUGGAAUUUUCUGCCAGGACAAUUGGGCUUAUGUUAAUGAAGGUGACUUUUGGACCUCACCCCAGAACGGAGGCUGCCUGCCAGGAGAACCGCUUCCGUAAUUAGAGGGUUGGAGCUUACAGUUGCGCCCCCUAAUUUCUGGGACUGGAGGUUGAAGGUUGAAUCGGUUGUCAUUGGCCAGUGCUUUAGUCAAUUAUGACUAUGCAAGGAAGCCUCUGUAAAAACCCCAAAGGACAGCUUUCUGGCUCUUUUUCCCAGAGCUUCCACGUUGGGGAAUCAGAUGCUUGCCUCUAUGCUGGGCCCCAUGCUUCAUGAGAACAGAAGGACCUUGCCCUAUGUAUCUCUUCAUCUGACUGUUGACUCGUACCCCUUGAUAUCCUUUUUAAAUAAAUCAGUAGUAUAGUGAACUCAAGGGUUUUCCUGAGUCCUGUGAGCCAUUCUAGAAAAUUAAUGGAACGCAAGGAGUAGGUUGUGAGAACCUCCAACUUACAUCCAGUGGAUCAGCAGGAAGCACAGGUUAAAACCCGGGUGUCUCACUAGCAUCUGAAGUGGAGGAUGGUCUCGUGGGGCUGAGCCUCUUACCUGUGGAGUCUGAUUCUGUCUCUCGGCAGAUAAUGUCAGAAUUGGGUUGCAUUCGCAGACACCCUGCUGGCAUCUGAGAAUUGCUUGUUGGUGUGGGGAAGCCUCCACACAAGUUGAAAUUGGGUCUGGGACCCCUUUUUCAUCUCCAUCCCAUCAAUCCUCUCAUUUUAUAGAGGAGGCAACUGAGUCCAAGAAGACCGGGUGACUCUGUUAAGGACACAGAGUGAGUGACCCAGACUCCCAGCCCUUAGUCUGUUUCGUUUUUAUCAUCCAGGGCUGCCUCCCAAGCUUUGAAAUAAAUGUCUGAGUGCUUUAAAUAGGCAUCUGCAAUUUAUUAUUAUAGUGGAAACUCUGAGUCUCCGCUGUCCCUCUACGUGAUCCUAGCAACAAGCCCAGUGCCAGAUGAAAUCACACUCCUGACUCUUGGCCAUUGUAGCUCUGAACUGGUUAGAUCCCGGAUGUCCCCGACCAGAAUGGCAACAACUCCAGAAGCUGGACCCCUGGCAGAGUGUCUGUCCAGGAUCUGGGGUGGGAAUCUGCAUUUCUGGAAUUCAUGAAGCUGAAAGGGAGAAGAGUGUCCAACAAAUGUGCCAUUUUCAAACCGGAUACAGCACCCUGGUAUAGUGGGAAUAUUCUUAGCCCACUUUGUGGAAAUUGCUCACCUCUUUCUUGGCCUUGGACAUCAACCCGAGGAGAUGGCUGCCCUUAGAGCAGUGAGGAGAGGUUGGGGUCCAUGAUGGUAGCAAGGGGCCCCAAGAAGCAAAACAAACCUCUAGACACAAUGCAGAAAAUCCUAUUAGGAUGAAGAUGUUGGAUGUGGCAGUCAUGGAGGAAAUGGGCUGGGGUGCAAUAUAGCUGGGGGCAAAGGGAAACCCCCUCUGACUGGGAGAAAUGGGGGCUACUCCUUACUCCUUUCAGAGAAGCUUUCUAAGCUGGGGAUGUACCUGGGACUGGUGGUCUCAACGUCAGACUCUUGCGCUUUCUGCACUGAACCUUGCUCAGCCCUGUCUGGUUCCUGGAUGUGUCCGCUUCAUUCUAGUUCUCUUGGUACCUGGGAUCCCAAAGAACCAGUAGUAAUGCCUGGGAGCAGUGUCACAUUGGUGGAGACAGCAACACAGGUGUGUCAAUGACAAGCAAAAGGAAAAAUUAUCAGGGAGUGGGGAGGAGCCUCUUCCAAGGUUUGAGGUACAGAGUGACCUACUGGUGACAAUAGAGGUCAUCAAUGUUUCCAGCGACCACAAGGAAAAGUUGCCAGUUUCCCUACAUUUUGUCUGAGGAAGGGAAAGGAGCGGAGACACUCAGCAUUGCCAUAGCUUUACUAGAAAAUACUUAUAAUAUCACCUAACAGGGAUCUGUAAGACUUUGUUAAAGUAAAAAAAAAAAUUAAUUCAGUAUGUAUUACAUGGCACACAUUAUAAGGGCUAUAUGCUGGAGGAUUCAGGUAUAAGAAAAGAUAACGUUUCUGUCCUUGUGGGGCUUUCAAUCCAAGGAGAGACAAAGAGUGAACCAUUAUUUGUAAGUGCAGCAGGUAGCACAAUGGGGAAGCACAGUGUACUCCAUAUACCGUAUGUGAACUUAGGGGAGGAUCCAGAUUAAAUGUUAUGUUAUGCAUAAAGUUCUUAGCAUGGUCUCUAGCACAUAGUAGGUGCUCAGUAAAUUGUAGCUGUUAUUUUUGUUAUUACUGAUGGCCUGAAAAACAUGCUUCAGGGGGGCAGCGCCCUUUUUGGGAUUUGUGAAUUGGGAAGGAAGGUCUGUGAUCCAUUCAUUCAUUCAUG